GGUCAAAUCAUCAUGCCCUUUAUGCCUUGGGCUACACACGUGCUACAAUGGCCGCCACAAAGCGAAGCGAAGCCGCGAGGCGGAGCAAACCGCAAAAAAGCGGCCACAGUUCGGAUUGCAGGCUGCAACCCGCCUGCAUGAAGCUGGAAUCGCUAGUAAUCGCGGAUCAGAAUGCCGCGGUGAAUACGUUCCCGGGCCUU
rnacentral:rRNA from 1 species